CUGAGCUAUGUGUGACUAUGGGUGUGUGCGUGUAUUUGAUAAAUCGAUUUAAAUACUGAUUAUGCUGAUUGAGUGUAUUUCGGUCAAGUCAAGCGGGUACUUAAGAUGUGAAAUAUUACGUUCUGUACUACAGUACCGUAGUACAGUAAACAAACAGACAUGAAAAUUGCCGAGGACCCUCAUAAUACUCUCUUGCAAUGGUGGUUGCUGAUGUGGCCGUGACGCUUAUGCUGUCUGUCUCUUACUAACAAAAUGUUUACGUUCAAUACUACUGUCAUAGAUUUCAGGCAGCUUACGAAGAUCUUUUCGUGACUACACUGCGCACUAUUUCCUCAAAUAUGGCCAUCUCUUCAAAGGUCUCUCAUUUGUAUGAUCUGGGUAGGCGCAGGAGUAUUAGCUCGAAGAACAUGUCAAGUUUCAGGGACAGGCCUUGUAGCCUGCUACGGCUCGGACCGAAUACGGUGCAACGAAAAUUAGAAGUCUUUGUUAAAUCACGCGUGUUAUGCAAGGCACACUUAUGGCUGGAACAACAAGCAUAUGAGAUACUACUUUUUGCCCUACCAGAAAAAAGGCGCAAAAUGUCCAUACAGCUUGGGUCGAUUGGACAGCAAGAAAUACAGUAACAGGCAAUACUGCUUGUUGCACCGAUAAUGUUUUCGUUACGAUCUACGAUAGGCAAGCCCUCAAAGUGUUUACCCCCUAUAAACUAGAUUAUUAUGAAAAAAAAAAAAUAGAAAUUGUAGAUUUCCGCUUUCUACCGAUUCAUGUGGUCCGGCUUGGCUCCUUAUUUAGGUUAUUUAUAACGUUAGCAAAGGUCUGACGUUUCUCUCGGUCUAUCCUAGUCAUUAUCCCCGAUGUCUGCUUGUAGAGUGUUUCCUUACAUGUAAUGAAAAACGCUGAAAUGUAGGUGUUUCAGCAUUACAGACGGGGCACAUGGCCGUAAAAGCUGCGCUUUGCUAGCUAGCGGAUACGCCAACAGGAACGGGGAAUCUGUCACGCCGUUAUGGGCAUUAGACCACCCUGUACGUAGACUAUCGCCACAGAGCCCAGCAAAUAAGCCCGUCUGAGAAAGCCACAAAGAUAAGGGCUAAAAGGAGCCCCCCAUCCAUAAGAACGACAUCAUUCGUUCGGUAGCGUCAACAUUGCUCCGGGGCUUCUCACUCUUCAAACUGAUGUUGAAGGAAAGUUAGCUUAGUUUAAUGCCAUGACGAGCCAACAGGAAGCAGUGCGAAGAUGUGAUAGCCCAUUUGUAACGAAGAAUAGAAUCGUUGCUAUGCCAAUGGUCAAGAAAAUUAUCUGCAGAAAACCACUGAUAUAUUAAAAGAAAUACGUGUGUAAUGAAGAAAGCACACUACAUAGUGAUUACUAUUAACAAGAUUCUGUUUUGCUUAAAAACCCUGCUAGCUCUAUCAGUGGCUCGGCAGAUUUCAAAAUUAUACAUUUCUAGCGUAGUUUGACUGUAGCAGAAGCAAAAGUCUGCAGAAAAAAUAAAUCUUUCUUCAUAUAUGUUUUGGUCCAAGAGUGUUAGAAUCUUUCAGUAGCUCGGUAAAGGUUAGGGGAAUGAACAAAAAAUAUCGUUGCAAAGAAUCGUAUUUUCCUGUGUCCCAUCCAUUUCGUAUGCAUUCAUUUUACAGUACCCUAUGCAUAUGUCUUCGUAUGUACUAAUCACUUAGCAAUCACAAAAUUGCUUAGAAACACUGCUAGUAAAGCCCCAGAGAAUGGUUAAAUUAAUAGAACCACAAUAUAAAUAACGGUACAUUUUUUUACAUAGAACAUAUUCGACAAGCUCGACAAGGAAAUUUUUGUACCAUAUUCUAACGUUUUGUAGAAUUUUGUAAUCAAUUUUGUUGUUCUGAUGAUUGCGACCGAUGCUACAUCGACAAGAAACGCUGAAACGGCGCGUAUAAGCCACCAAUUCUAUAUUGUAUCUAUGUGCAAAGGCUAAACACUGACCAAUUCAAUCUUUCUACACAUAUUUGUAGUACGCGAUAUAAACGAAUUACAUCACUCGAGACGUCACUUAAUCCGCCAGACAGAGCACAUAACCACUGCUCUGUUUUUGUCGAAUCAGUUUUGGCCAUCAAGUUAGCCCUAGAUAAAGAAAUAAAGAUACCUUGCAUAGAUCUAACGUAAAUAUAUAUUUUUAUUACAAAACACAAUGGUCAAAUGUUCUAGAUAGACCGUGAAACACACUAGCGGGAGUUAUCGAACGGAUCUUUAUAUUUAUUCAACUAAACACCUAUUUGUUUUCUGCACUCGGACAGAAUAAGGAAUGCAAAUGCAGGCCGAAUCCGUUAUUUGUUCAUUGUCGUUCUCUCGCUCCCUUUACGCGUCCUAGGAAACAUAAAAGGGCUUACUUGGAGUAGCAUAGUAAAAUUGUUCAACUGAGGCGCAUACAGCGGGUACAAAGAAUGCCUUAGUUAAGAUUUUACUUUGAACUAUCAUUUGGGAAAUUUUACGGCAUCCAAGUUCUCCCUCUGUUGUUUCGUUCUUGUUCUUUGUGCCUGUUUACCAGGAAGAAUGAAUAACACCUCUUCGGGAGUAAAUAAACGCGAGUUCCGUAAAAAAAGGUCGAAUGUGUGAUGUUUUAAGAACUAUUGGUUUUCAGACGAUGCUCACUACGACGAAGUACGCAAGUUGAAAACCUACAUUGGACACAAGAACGGUUAUUACUGAUCAAGUCUUCCGAUGUUUACAAAGUAGCCCCAAGCAGACAUAAUCUACUACGGUUAUAUAUCCUCGUUGUACAAUUUUAGUGGUUUUCGUAACGUACCAAAGCUGAACAGAAUUUUCAUAUUUAUUAUAAACAAGCUACGUAUGUGCAUAUAAAAAAUUUUACGUGAAAGGAAAAUGAAUAAAGGUUUGAAAAAUUUAAUUAUCACUAUUAUUUGUGCGAGCGCUUGCGCCGUGUAUUUAGCAAA
rnacentral:lncRNA from 1 species